AAUAAUGUCGGCAUUGGUCGCCAUUGGUCAGGCGCAUUGAGGGUCAUAUAUUUUCAUUCUCAAAUAGCCGUGCAUUCGAUGACGUAACUUCGUGGUGUCGCACACACGAGCGCCGGGGAAAUGUGAUAACGGUGUCAUGUUCGCUCUCGGAUUCUUCGUGCAGCCGUGCUCAACGAUAGCCCCGUCCGGCAAGUGAUCAGCCCACCGCCGUGCUGGAGGCCCAGUCCUUGGUCGCCCUCGCGCAGCGCCCCGGACCUCAGAAUCACCAGGCCUGCAGGGACGGUGGCAUCGCCGUACACGACGCGCGUGGUCGCGGCAGCCACGGCCUCAGGCCCGGCCCGCGGCAAGAGCCCUUUCUGGCUGACUUCGCCCGACAGCGUCCAGCCGCAUCCGCAACUGGUCCCCGGGACGGGAGAGGCCGUCGAGUCGCAACCGCACCCACCUGGAUCUGGAGACAGAGAGGACCUCACCACUGACAAUCAUCACACCACAGGUGACAAUUCAGUUUUGAGCUACAGAGAACAAUCGGCAUACGAAAGCUGGCUCAUACUCAGUUGUUAAGUGCUACGACAACGGGCAGGAAGGAACAGGAAAGGCAAAGUUGUCCAGCGAUGCGCGAGGCCCUAGGUCAAUAAAUAAAUAAAUAAAUAAAUAAAUAAAUAAAUAAAUAAAUAAAUAAAUAAAUAUUCCACAUCACCGUCGAGGAAGACGACAAGAAAUGUCCUACAAUACCAUAAUGAUCCGAAUCGGAAUCCAAAUACCGGGAGCGAAGACAGAGAGGGUGCUAAGAAUCGAAACGCAUUUCCAUUCAGCAAUGCAUUUUCUUCGUGGUCUGUGGUCGCCAGAAAGCAUAUGAAGCAUGCAUAGAAUCGGGAGACAUUAUGUGCUUAGCAUUAAUUCGGUAAUUUAAAAAAGUUGUAUCUGACGCCUUGUUGCAUAAACUUCAAAUUUGUAUUGCAGUCGCACAGAUCCACAGCUUACUAUACAAAAAUAGAGCUUGUCACGGCAAAACUUACUGCUGCGGCUGCAGGAAGUCAUGUCGCGCCGCAAAA
rnacentral:lncRNA from 1 species